rfam:Danio rerio chromosome 21, GRCz11 reference primary assembly.
UCCCACAGCCAUAUCACCCUGCAGCCCAAGAAUAACUCACUGAAGCUGAGCAGGGCUGAGCCUGGUCAGAAUCUGGAUGGGAGACCACAUGGGAAAACAAGGUUGUUGAAAGUU